rnacentral:misc_RNA from 1 species
CAAGUCUCUCAAAACACAAAAUGCCUCUCCUAUCCUUGCCUUUGGCACAUCUUGAGCCACUGCACAAUAAGGAAUCCAGGAGUCAGGGCGGUAAUCUUCAGUAAUCUCAAUCCCUUCCUUCUUCAAUGCAUCAUACAAUUGAGAAUGAAAUUGAAGAAGUGAAAGUGAAGGCGUAGGGGCUAAAAAGAGGACAUUGUUGUCAUUUGGGAGACCCCCAAUUGCAGAGAGAGAUAAGGAUAAUGGUUCCUGCUUUGAGGCAAAGUUCUUGACAAUUGAUUCAAGCUUUGUAGGCUCAGCAAACGAGCUAGAAUAGAGGGUUAUGUGAGGGCGAGACUCGAUUUCGAUGAGAUGGGUGCUGAUUUGACGUCGAGCUAGCACGUUCCAGGCCUUCAAGACCUGAUUUUCAAGGGCUGGAUCGAAAUAGAGUUCAAUUGCAUAACCUUGUGACAUCGAGUGACAAUUACGAACUAUAUGAAGCAGAACAGUAGUGAAAUAGCGAAAAUGUUGAUACCCAGAAAGGAAAUUUGAGAUCUAAGAGUACCCAGCUAUAGAAACAAGUGAACAGUAUGUGAAAUUAAACUAUCCCUAACAAGAGAAGCACAAGAGAAGGGAAGACCCAGUUAGGGAUUGAAGGUUAUAAAGGGCAAACAAGUUGAAGAAUGAGCCGCAAGGGGAAAAGCAGAAAACCCUAGAAAUUGGAAAAGGAAUCAGCAUAAAAUAGAAGAGACCCAGAUGAGAUUGAAGGUGAUAAACGCCUAAAAAAGUUGAGAAAAUGUAAAAUUAGAAACAGAAAGAGACAUGGGAGACAGAUCAGAGAAGCGGAGAGAAGGGAAGCACG